GCCAGAGUAGCUCAACGGCAGAGCGCUCGUCCGGUAUGCGAGAGGUCACGGGCUCGAUCCCUGGCUCACCUUUUCGGGCU